rnacentral:misc_RNA from 1 species
UUGCCUCCUUUCACAGGUUUGGCCUCUCUUCGGGAGCUUUCUCUGCAGCGUUGUUAUAUAUCAGAAAUUCCUAGUAAUCUUGGCUCUUUAGAGUCAUUGGUAUAUUUAUAUUUAAGUGGAAAUAACUUCAGAAGCAUACCUGCAAGCAUCGAGAAAUGUUCUAAGUUGAAUAUACUUGAUUUAAGUGAUUGCAUGAUGCUUCAAUAUUUGCCAGAGCUUCCACCAGGUCUAGCAGAGUUAGAUGCAGAUAACUGCACAUCUGUGGAAUUUGUAUCGAGAUCAUUCAUACAAGGAUAUAUGAAU